AAAAAAAACAAACCCGAGUUUCCGUAUCCAACGUUUGACCGUCCGUCUUAUAUAAGUUUUUUUUAUAAUUAGUAUUUUCAUUAUUGUUAGAUGAUAAAACAUGAUUAAUACUUUAUGCGUGACUUAUCUUUUUAAUUUUUUUUAUAAUUUUAUCAAAUAAGAUGAACGGUUAAACGUUGGACACGGAAACUUAGGGUUUGUCUUUUU
rfam:Oryza glumipatula chromosome 5, whole genome shotgun sequence.